rnacentral:rRNA from 1 species
GACGUAGGGGGCCAGCGUUGUUCGGAAUUACUGGGUGUAAAGGGUUCGUAGGCGGUGCGGCAAGUCGGGGGUGAAAUCUCUGGGCUCAACCCAGAGGCUGCUUCCGAAACUGCUGUGCUUGAGUGUGGGAGAGGCGCGUGGAAUUGCAGGUGUAGCGGUGAAAUGCGUAGAUAUCUGCAGGAACACCCGUGGCGAAAGCGGCGCGCUGGACCACUACUGACGCUGAAGAACGAAAGCUAGGGGAGCAAACAGG